rnacentral:rRNA from 1 species
UUUCUCCUACGGGAGGCAGCAGUGGGGAAUCUUAGACAAUGGGCGCAAGCCUGAUCCAGCCAUGCCGCGUGAGUGAUGAAGGCCUUAGGGUCGUAAAGCUCUUUCGCCAGGGAUGAUAAUGACAGUACCUGGUAAAGAAACCCCGGCUAACUCCGUGCCAGCAGCCGCGGUAAUACGGAGGGGGUUAGCGUUGUUCGGAAUUACUGGGCGUAAAGCGUACGUAGGCGGAUCAGAAAGUAAGGGGUGAAAUCCCAGGGCUCAACCCUGGAACUGCCUCUUAAACUCCUGGUCUUGAGUUCGAGAGAGGUGAGUGGAAUUCCGAGUGUAGAGGUGAAAUUCGUAGAUAUUCGGAGGAACACCAGUGGCGAAGGCGGCUCACUGGCUCGAUACUGACGCUGAGGUGCGAAAGUGUGGGGAGCAAACAGGAUUAGAUACCCUGGUAGUCC